GCCCUUGACUCUGGGAUAAGCCUGGGAAACCGGGUCUAAUACCGGAUACGACCUUUCACCGCAUGGUGGUUGGUGGAAAGAUUUUUUGGUUUUGGAUGGACUCGCGGCCUAUCAGCUUGUUGGUGAGGUAAUGGCUCACCAAGGCGACGACGGGUAGCCGGCCUGAGAGGGUGACCGGCCACACUGGGACUGAGACACGGCCCAGACUCCUACGGGAGGCAGCAGUGGGGAAUAUUGCACAAUGGGCGAAAGCCUGAUGCAGCGACGCCGCGUGAGGGAUGACGGCCUUCGGGUUGUAAACCUCUUUCAGCAGGGAAGAAGCGAAAGUGACGGUACCUGCAGAAGAAGCGCCGGCUAACUACGUGCCAGCAGCCGCGGUAAUACGUAGGGCGCAAGCGUUGUCCGGAAUUAUUGGGCGUAAAGAGCUCGUAGGCGGUUUGUCGCGUCUGCUGUGAAAG
rnacentral:rRNA from 1 species